AUGAAGGUCUUUGAGGGACUGGUUAAAAACUUCAUCAGCUCCUCCAUCCCGGAUACUUUGGACCCUCUUCAGUUUGCUUAUCGCCCCAACAGAUCCACUGAUGAUGCCAUCUCUCACAUCCUGCACUCUUCUCUCACACACAUUGACAGCAAUAACAGGAACUAUGUAAGGCUGCUAUUUAUCGACUAUAGCUCAGCUUUCAAUACUAUAGUCCCCAUCACGCUAGCUUCUAAACUCAUGGACCUCGGCCUGAAUUCUUCACUAUGCAACUGGAUUCUUGAUUUCCUCACCGGCAGACCUCAAGUGGUGAAAGUAGGCCAGUUCACCUCUAACUCCAUCACCCUGAACAUAGGAGCUCCACAGGGCUGUGUCCCGAGUCCCCUGCUCUACUCUCUCUACACACAUGACUGCGUGUCUUCCCACAGCUCCACAUCUAUUAUCAAAUUUGCUGAUGAUACUGUGGUUCUGGGCCUCAUUUCCAACAAUAAUGAGACCGCAUACUUGGAUGAGGUAGAGAAAUUAACAUCAUGGUGCCAGGACAAUUGUCUCUCUCUGAAUGUGAGCAAAACUAAAGAGCUGAUUGUUGACUUCAGGAAGAGACAGCAGCAGCCCUAUACUCCUCUAAUGAUCAGCGGGACCCCUGUGGAGAGGGUGAGCAGCUUCAAGUACCUCGGUGUAAACAUCUCCGAGGACCUGACUUGGACUACACACAUUCAAACACAGGUUAAUAAAGCCAGGCAAAGACUGUACCAUCUGAGACAGCUGAGAAAAUUCAGGGUUUCACCUGCAAUCCUGAAAACUUUCUAUUCAGGGGCCAUUGAAAGUGUAUUGACUCAGUGUAUAUCAGUGUGGUAUGGGAACAGCUCCAGUCAUGACUGCAAAGCCCUGCAGAGAGUUGUGCGCUUAGCUGAGCGCAUCUCAGGGUCUGCUCUCCCCUCUCUGCAGGACAUCUACCUCAAACGCUGCAAAAGCAGAGCUGUUAAAAUAAUCAAGGACUCCAUUCACCCCAGUAACCAUCUUUUCACUUUGCUGCCAUCUGGUAUCUCACAUAAACCCACGAGGUCAAGAUGCGUUGACUUCACUUUUAUACAGAUGUGUGAUUGUGUGGUCUGUACCCGACCGUGUCAAUCAAACGCUGAUUCGGCGGACCACGCCACCUGUCAAAACACUUGUGAAACACUUCGAGGCUUCAUUAGUCACGUGACAUGGGUGUUUUGA
ensembl:lncRNA